AGAACCAUUCGACAUGGCAU
rnacentral:miRNA from 1 species